rnacentral:rRNA from 1 species
GAGCGGUAAGGCCCUUCGGGGUACACGAGCGGCGAACGGGUGAGUAACACGUGAGCAACCUGCCCCCGACUCCGGGAUAAGCGGUGGAAACGCCGUCUAAUACCGGAUACGACCGGCCACCUCAUGGUGGCGGGUGGAAAGUUUUUCGGUUGGGGAUGGGCUCGCGGCCUAUCAGCUUGUUGGUGGGGUAAAGGCCUACCAAGGCGAUUACGGGUAGCCGGCCUGAGAGGGCGACCGGCCACACUGGGACUGAGACACGGCCCAGACUCCUGCGGGAGGCAGCAGUGGGGAAUAUUGCGCAAUGGGCGAAAGCCUGACGCAGCGACGCCGCGUGGGGGAUGACGGCCUUCGGGUUGUAAACCUCUUUUACCACCAACGCAGGCUCCCAGUUCUCUGGGGGUUGACGGUAGGUGGGGAAUAAGGACCGGCUAACUACGUGCCAGCAGCCGCGGUAAUACGUAGGGUCCGAGCGUUGUCCGGAAUUAUUGGGCGUAAAGAGCUCGUAGGCGGCGUGUCGCGUCUGCUGUGAAAGACCGGGGCUUAACUCCGGUUCUGCAGUGGAUACGGGCAUGCUAGAGGUAGGUAGGGGAGACUGGAAUUCCUGGUGUAGCGGUGAAAUGCGCAGAUAUCAGGAGGAACACCGGUGGCGAAGGCGGGUCUCUGGGCCUUACCUGACGCUGAGGAGCGAAAGCAUGGGGAGCGAACAGGAUUAGAUACCCUGGUAGUCCAUGCCGUAAACGUUGGG